GAGUAGUCGGAGCAGUUGCUCAGGCGUGGCCGGUAGAAGCCCGGGUGUGGCCGGUACAGCUCCUCCGCUGUGUAGCGCUUCAUGAACAGGUCGAUGUACAGCGGUGGAGUUCAGAUGACCCGGGGAGCCAGACUUACUCAGAACGCUGACUGUAGAGUCUGAAGUCAGUUGGACGUUCAUGGGCAUGACGUACUCGAUGGCUGCUGUUCAGAGAACUGGCCUGCGUUUGAAAUCCAAGGACCACCAUCACUUCAGAUGUGAACAGCGUCAACAACGGUGUGCUCAUAGACUGACCUGCCUGAGUUUGUGCUGUUGUUGCACGUUUGCUUUUAGCCAAAAGGCAAGCAUAGAUCAACUGUUGGUGAUGAGAAUAAAUUAUAUCAAAUAAAUUAAAAUAAAUGAUAUUAAACAAUUAUUUGAAAUAAUACAAAGCAUUAAUAUAAUUUGUCAAUAUUAAAUAAGUCAUGGAAAUACACUGCCUGGCUAAAAAAAAAAGGUCACACACACUAAAAUUUCAUUGGACCAUCUUUAGCUUUGAUUACGGCACGCGUUCGCUGUGGCAUCAAUUCCGCAAGCUUCUGUAAUGUCACAACAUUUAUUUCCGUCCAGAGUUGGAUUAAUUUUUCCCCCAAGAUCUUGUAUUGAUGA